AGAUUUUCAGGAAACUAGAUAUUCUGUCUGGGUAGAUUUAACUCUCACUGUUCUAGAAAUACUCCCAUUAGCCUAUGAUCUUUGCUUUGGCAUGGAGUCUGAUGACACAUUGAUACCAUUUUCUGCCUGUUAACCUACCAAAGGACACAAAACCCUCUUCAUUUCCCUAGAAGUACAUGUAAUAUUUCAAAAUGUAUCACGGGGCACAGCCAUCCCAGGAAAAAGAUGUAAGGUAAUGAGAUAACGUGAAGAAUUCUAGGCACUGAAACUCAAUUCUGGUGGUGAUUUUAGUCUGAGGAAACACAACAAAGGCCAAGAAGAAUGGGAUCGUCAUGACUGGCUGGGAAAUGAAUCAUGGGCAGCCCAGACGCAGGGCUUUGAUCAGUCCAGCUUCCUCCUCCUAAGAAGUUUCCACCAGAACAUUGCUUGGUGACAUAGUGGUCUUCACCCUGAGCGUCUACAAAUGUAUGUUAAGUUGCUAUUAAGGACCUGUGGACAGAGAAGGCACACCACCACAGUGGUCUGGAACCAAACCCCUGAUAUUUCUAUGAUGUGCCUGUAGAUUGAGGAGGCAGUAGCAGCACUGGGAGCUGGUCCUCUCAGCACCGACAGCAAGCCCCACAGCACCACUGUUGGGUUUUGGCAUGAUCAGCAACCAGGAAUAUUCCCACAACCAUCCCAGCCAGGAGGGGAAAUGGGGUCGUCACCCAGUGUGCAGAACAUAUAAAGACAUCCCUUGGGAACCUCAAAAUUGGAACGGAGAUGGGCCAGAGAAAUACAUUUGUGACUACGUCUGUGACCUGAAUUUUUCCUACCACAGUAUGUGACUCCUCAGCUUCUGACUAAUGGGGUACAGGGGAUGCUACCACAAAAUAUGGCAGCUUGGCAUACUGGGUUUUUUAACCUGAAUUAAAUUGAGAAAACUGUAGAGGCAAGAAAGUCACUCUACCUUCUCCUGCCUUUUUCCCAUGGAACAUGGCUGUAAAAGAAUUUUCUGACCUACUUUGCCUGAAAAUAAGUCCUAAGACCCUCAUUCCAGAGGGGUCCUGCCCUAUACCUGGAGACCAAGAAGAAUCUGAACAAACAGGCCUUCCUAAAUUCUCCACAGCUUAUUACCAUCACAUCCUUUUGUCCUCCAAUCACACUUCUGUACAAGUGACCAUAAAAAUACAGUUUUCCCUGGGCCUUUGGGUCUUCAUUUCUAAAGGCUCCCAUGUCAUGUAAAACUUUGGUUAAAUACAUUUGUUUUGCCUUUGUCCUGUUAAUCUGUCUUUUGUU
rnacentral:lncRNA from 1 species